rnacentral:rRNA from 1 species
UACGGAGGAUGCAAGCGUUAUCCGGAUUUAUUGGGUUUAAAGGGUGCGUAGGCGGCUUUUUAAGUCAGCGGUGAAAUUUUGCAGCUUAACUGUAACAGUGCCGUUGAUACUGGGGAGCUAGGAUUUGGUUGCUGUGGGUGGAAUGUGUGGUGUAGCGGUGAAAUGCUUAGAGAUCACACAGAACACCGAUUGCGAAGGCAUCUCACGAAUCCGCAAUUGACGCUGAUGCACGAAAGCGUGGGGAUCAAACAGGAUUA